GGGAGUUUACUCCUGAGGUGGCGAGCGGCGGACGGGUGAGUAAUGCCUAGGGAUCUGCCCAGUCGAGGGGGAUAACAGUUGGAAACGACUGCUAAUACCGCAUACGCCCUACGGGGGAAAGAGGGGGACCUUCGGGCCUCUCGCGAUUGGAUGAACCUAGGUGGGAUUAGCUAGUUGGUGAGGUAAUGGCUCACCAAGGCGACGAUCCCUAGCUGUUCUGAGAGGAUGAUCAGCCACACUGGGACUGAGACACGGCCCAGACUCCUACGGGAGGCAGCAGUGGGGAAUAUUGCACAAUGGGGGAAACCCUGAUGCAGCCAUGCCGCGUGUGUGAAGAAGGCCUUCGGGUUGUAAAGCACUUUCAGUAGGGAGGAAAGGGUGAGUCUUAAUACGGCUCAUCUGUGACGUUACCUACAGAAGAAGGACCGGCUAACUCCGUGCCAGCAGCCGCGGUAAUACGGAGGGUCCGAGCGUUAAUCGGAAUUACUGGGCGUAAAGCGUGCGCAGGCGGUUUGUUAAGCGAGAUGUGAAAGCCCUGGGCUCAACCUAGGAAUAGCAUUUCGAACUGGC
rnacentral:rRNA from 1 species